rnacentral:rRNA from 1 species
UACGGAGGAUGCGAGCGUUAUCCGGAUUUAUUGGGUUUAAAGGGUGCGUAGGCGGACGCUUAAGUCAGCGGUAAAAUUGCGGGGCUCAACCUCGUCGAGCCGUUGAAACUGGGUGCCUUGAGUGGGCGAGAAGUACGCGGAAUGCGUGGUGUAGCGGUGAAAUGCAUAGAUAUCACGCAGAACUCUGAUUGCGAAGGCAGCGUACCGGCGCCCAACUGACGCUGAAGCACGAAGGCGUGGGUAUCGAACAGG